rnacentral:rRNA from 1 species
AAUGAGCGUUGGCGGCGUGGAUUAGGCAUGCAAGUCGAGCGAUAACCGUAGCAAUACGGCGAAAGCGGCGAAAGGGAGAGGAACACGCGGGUACCUACCCUCGGAUUCAGGAUAGCCAUGGGAAACUAUGGGUAAUACUGAAUAACGUCUCCGGACCAAAGGUGUGAUUCCGUCCGGGGAGGGGCCCACGUCCUAUUAGCUAGUUGGCGAGGUAAUGGCUCACCAAGGCGAAGAUGGGUACGGGGUGUGAGAGCAUGCCCCCGCUCACUGGGACUGAGACACUGCCCAGACACCUACGGGUGGCUGCAGUCGAGAAUCUUCGGCAAUGGGCGCAAGCCUGACCGAGCGACGCCGCGUGCGAGAUGAAGGCCUUCGGGUUGUAAAUCGCUGUCGUAGGGGGGGAAAUGCCGGUGGGUUCUCCCAUCGGUUUGACCUAUCCUAGGAGGAAGGACGGGCUAAGUUCGUGCCAGCAGCCGCGGUAA